rnacentral:snRNA from 1 species
GGAUGUGAGGGCGAUCUGGCUGCGACAUCUGUCACCCCAUUGAUCGCCAGGGUUGAUUCGGCUGAUCUGGCUGGCUAGGUGGGUGUCCCCUUCCUCCCUCACCGCUCCAUGUGCGUCCCUCCCAAAGCUGCGCGCUCGGUCGAAGAGGACGACCAUCCCCGAUAGAGGAGGACCGUUCUUCGGUCAAGGGUAUACAAGUAGCUGCGCUCCCCUGCUAGAACCUCCAACAAGCUCUCAAGAGUUUAUGAUCAAAAGCUGGAGUUAAUUUUUAUAGCAUCUUGGACAACAAACUGAAAAUAUGUCAAGAGAGGAAAGCACAACUUUUGACAGUGUUCUAAUU